rnacentral:rRNA from 1 species
UAAUAGCUCACUGGUCGAGUCGGCCUGCGCGGAAGAUGUAACGGGGCUAAACCAUGCACCGAAGCUGCGGCAGCGACACUAUGUGUUGUUGGGUAGGGGAGCGUUCUGUAAGCCUGUGAAGGUGUGCUGUGAGGCAUGCUGGAGGUAUCAGAAGUGCGAAUGCUGACAUAAGUAACGAUAAAGCGGGUGAAAAGCCCGCUCGCCGGAAGACC